rnacentral:lncRNA from 1 species
CUGCUUCAGUCACAGGAGCUGCAGACCCCGGCCCACUCAGAGGACGGGGUCGUGCACACUUCCGCUAAGACAAGCAAGCCCCGCACAGAGACCUGGGGAGCGCGGCCCGCUGGACGCUGGGGGUGGACAGCCCAGCAGGCCCCGCGCGCUCCCGGCGGGGAGGCCAGCCCAGGUCCCCAAGCCCCCGGGCGCCCCGCGGCCCAGGAAGCGAGCCGCGCGCCAGGACCGCGGGACCCCACGCCCCUCCCCGCCGCACGGCGGCGCUGCGCAAGGCCGGCCGUUGUCCGGGGCCGUUGGGCGCCCACGUGGCUUCUGGACGCCUCGAGGCCGGCGCGGGGGCGGGCGCCAUUACGAGAGGCCGGGGGCGCGGGGUGGAGCCGACGAGGAGCCCAGAGCGCGCCCGCGGCGGCGGCGUCGGGUGGGAAGACGAGGCGCGGCACUGGGGGGCGUGGCGGCCGGCCUGCAGGCGGGGGCGCGUCCAGCGCAGGAAGCUGGAGUCCUCGUGGAGCUGGUGGGCGCGGCCCCCGCAGAGGCCUGAGGCGUCCGGCGCGAUGGCAGGGGCCGCCCCCGGGGCGGUGGCGGGGGCCGCGCGGCUCGCCACGCCCGCCACGCCCGCCACGCCCGCCGCCGGGCGCGUCGUCCAGGGCGAGCGGGCCAGAGGCGCGGCGAAGAUGCUCCAGGUCCUGGUGCUCCAGGAGUAUUUGCCCCAGUGAGGUCCAGGUUCCGGCUGUCCUGAUCCAGAUUGAUGUGGCAUUUCCAUGGAUACGGUGCCCCCUCCCACCCUGUGCCCAUCAACAGGUGAUGGGGUACCCUCAGGGUGGUGUGCAUGUAGGAUGGGAAAUUAUUUAGCUUUCACAUUGUUUAGUUUUGAGGUGUCCUCUUACACGUGAGGAUGUCAUAUGAAGUGAGGUGACCCAAGCAGAAAGGCCCACGUGCUGUAUGAUUCUGUGGGCGAGUUGAAUGGCAGCUGCCAGAGGUUGGGUUUGUGCGUACAGGGCAGAGAUUCACUUUUGCAAGGUGAGGAAUUCUGGAGAUGGCUGGUGCUCGCGGUUGCACAACAGUGCCAGUCUACGUAAUGCUACUGAACUGUACACUUAAAAUUGCCCAAAAGGAUGAAUUUUAUCUGGAGUUUGCCACGACUUUUUAAAAAGAUUUACUUGAUUCUGUCCCGGUUGCCCCUCUUCCAGGCCAGCCCUCUGCUGUGGCCAGGGAGUGCAGUGGAGGAUGGCCCAGGUGCUUGGGCCCUGCACCCCAAGGGAGACCAGGAGAAGCACCUGGCUCCUGGCUCCUGCCAUCGGAUCAGCGCGGUGCGCCGGCCGCAGUGCGCUGGCCGCGGCAGCCAUUGGAGGGUGAACCAACGGCAAAGGAAGACCUUUCUCUCUGUCUCUCUCUCUCACUGUCCACUCUGCCUGUCAAAAAAAUAAAAUAAAUAAAUAAAUAAAUAAAAAAUAAAUA